CUUUGUUUAUCCAUUUUCUAUCUUCUUUGAGAUGGGUAUCAGUCAUUCCUCUAAUGAACAUUCCUUGUCCUUCAGAAAUCUGCAGAAUGAUCAGAAAGAAUACUAUGGUGCAUGCACAAAAAAAAUCUCGAAGACGGCCUAUGCUUGUAUAUGCGGUUUUAGGCUCCACGAAUCAUGCGCGAGUGAAGUGCAACAUCUGCCUCAUAAGAUUAUUCACCCUCUCCACUCACAGCACGAUCUUGAGCUAAAAUUAGAGAAAUCUGCAGAAUGAUCAGAAAGAAUAUUGUGGUGCAUGCACAAAAGAAAUCUUGAAGACGGCCUAUUCUUGUAUAUGCGGUUUUAGGCUCCACGAAUCAUGCUCGAGGGAAGUGCAACAACUGCCUCAUAAGACUAUUCACCCUCUCCACUCACAGCACGAUCUUGAACUAAAAUUAGAGAAAAGUGGCAGAGACCUAAAGAUGGCAAGAGAAAGGAAAUUCAGCAUUACAGCCACCUUCACAAGCUGACCUUCUUCAAAUAUACGAAGAUAAGAAACUACGGCUAUAAUUGUAGUUGGUGUGAAAAGUGUCUAUCGGAAGUGUGCUAUGGUUGCGUAAGAUGUAAGUUCUUCCUUCAUGAGUUGUGCAGGGAUAAGGUACUCAGAACCCUUUAUCAUCCUUUUCAUCCUUCACACCCUCUUCGCUUGCACUCUAUAGACAUCGGCAACAAUUGCAAUGCUUGUGGACAAGAUAUUUGUUUUUUGGCUCAGCGAGAAGAUAUUCUUAGUGAAAAGUAUUACGGGAAUCUCAGUUAUUGUUGCUUAAAGUGCAACCUUUUCCUUCAUUUUGGCUGCACUAAACUCUUACCCACCUUAAAACACAAGUGCCACGAACACCUUGUCACUUAUUUCAGAAUAUCCAAGAAAGCUAAAAAUGCUAACUCAUGCAAUGCUUGUGGGGCGCUUUGUGAUUAUGAUUUCUAUCGUUGUGUAGAAUGCAAUUUCAAUGUCCACCUUCAUUGUGUUCCAAUACCAUCUUCAAUUGAGCAUAGAUAUCACCGGCAUCCACUCAACUAUAUGGAUUCAGUUGCAGAAGAUCAUUCUGAAGAAUAUUACUGUGAUAUUUGUGAAAAUGAAAGGAAUCCAGCACAUCCUGUUUAUUGUUGUGAAAAAUGCAAAUAUAUUACUCAUGUUCAUUGUGUGCUCAAUGAGGUAAAAAUUACUUGCCUUACUUUUUUUUUGUUUUUAUGUUUUGAAAACCAAAAAGGAAAAUUUAUUAAGUUGAAAGCAGGGUAUAUUAAUAAUAGCACCAACCCACGCUAAAUCCUCUUUUGUCUA